AUUGAACGCUGGCGGCAGGCCUAACACAUGCAAGUCGAGCGGUAGCACAGGAGAGCUUGCUCUCUGGGUGACGAGCGGCGGACGGGUGAGUAAUGUCUGGGAAACUGCCUGAUGGAGGGGGAUAACUACUGGAAACGGUAGCUAAUACCGCAUAACGUCUUCGGACCAAAGUGGGGGACCUUCGGGCCUCACGCCAUCAGAUGUGCCCAGAUGGGAUUAGCUAGUAGGUGGGGUAAUGGCUCACCUAGGCGACGAUCCCUAGCUGGUCUGAGAGGAUGACCAGCCACACUGGAACUGAGACACGGUCCAGACUCCUACGGGAGGCAGCAGUGGGGAAUAUUGCACAAUGGGCGCAAGCCUGAUGCAGCCAUGCCGCGUGUGUGAAGAAGGCCUUCGGGUUGUAAAGCACUUUCAGCGAGGAGGAAGGGUAGUGUGUUAAUAGCACAUUGCAUUGACGUUACUCGCAGAAGAACCACCGGCUAACUCCGUGCCAGCACCCGCGGUAAUACAGACGGUGCAAGCGUUAAUCGGAAUUACUGGGCGUAAAGCGCACACGGGCGGUUUGUCAAGUGACAUGUGAAAUCCCCCCGCUAAACGUGGGAACUGCAUUUGACACUGGCAAGCUUUAUUCUUGUAGAGGGGGGUAGAAUUCCAAGUGUAGCGAUGAAAUGCGUACAGAUCUGGAAGAGUACCGGUGCUGAAGUCGGCCCCCUGGACAUACACGUGAUUCUCACGGGCGAAAGCGUGCGGAGCGAACAGGAUUAGAUAUCUUAGGACUAAUUGGCGAGUACACAUGCGCAGCGCCCGGGGAUCUACUAGUGUAGCGCGGUCCCACCUGUGUUCUCCA
rnacentral:rRNA from 1 species